GUGAGGAGGUCCCUUUUGAGGGCUAUCCAAUCCCUGUAUGUCCAAAGUGAGAGCUGUGUUCGGGUUCUCGGUAAUAAGUCGGACUUGUUCCAGGUGGGGGUUGGCCUCCGCCAGGGCUGCGCUUUGUCACCAAUCCUGUUUGUAACUUUUAUGGAUAGGAUAUCGAGGCGUAGUCGGGGUGGGGAGGGGUUGCAGUUCGGUGCCCUAGGGAUCUCAUCGCUGCUUUUUGCAGAUGAUGUGGUCCUGAUGGCAUCAAUGGUCUGUGACCUUCAGCACUCACUGGACCAGUUCGCAGCAGAGUGCGAAGCGGUUGGGAUGAGGAUUAGCACCUCUAAAUCUGAGGCCAUGGUCCUCAGCAGGAAACCGAUGGAGUGCCUUCUCCGGGUAGGGAAUGAGGCGUUACCCCAAGUUAAGGAGUUCAAGUAUCUCGGGGUCUUGUUCGCGAGUGAGGGGACAAUGGAGCGGGAGAUUGGCCGGAGAAUCGGAGCAGAAGGGGCGGUAUUGCAUUCGCUUUACCGCACCGUUGUGAUGAAAAGAGAGCUGAGCCGGAAGGCAAAGCUCUCGAUAUACCGGUCAAUUUUCCUUCCAACCCUCACCUAUGGUCAUGAAGGCUGGGUCAUGACCGAAAGAACAAGAUAGCGAGUACAAGCGGCUGAAAUGGGUUUUCUCCUUAGGGAUAGGGUGAGAAGCUCAGCCAUCCGUGAGGAACUCGGAGUAGAGCCGCUGCUCCUUUGCGUCGAAAGGAGCCAGUUGAGGUGGUUCGCGCAUUUGAUGGAGUAUAGCAGCAACUCAUAAAUCCCACAGUCACCAGACACUGACCUGGACUCAAAUGUAACUACACCAGCUGCAUUCAGUUGACCUCGAGGCUGGGGAACAGACCAUCAUUAGAACCUGCCACAUCUAAUUACAAAAGACCUGUCCACCAAAAACAACCUAAGAGUGUCUCUCCAGGUACAACUUCCCUCGACUCAUAUUCAUCCUCCUAGAGAGCAUCAACAGAAAUUUGGAAGAACGAUGACCGGACAGCUCGACUUAACCUUCUGGAUCAGUGCAGAAAAGAGGGAAGAGAGACAUGCCAUGCUCACUGAAGAGCUUGAUGUUGAUAUUGCAAGAUUUGUCACACUAUAAGUGACUUGAUCUACAAACUGCCACAACAUAAAAAAGGUCUAACCAAGUUCAAAAUCCAUCAGCAUUUAUUUGAGAUGGGGAAAGAAAGUCCUGGAGACACGGCCGGCUGAAUACAUUGUUUGAAUACACACCCUGAUUUUUGAACAAAAUAAUUUAGUGCACUUUCUUUCCAUUUUAAAUAAUAAGUUCUAAGUAGUCUGCUCUUUUCAAUGUUUGAAAUACUAUAUUGUUACAUUUACAAUUGUACAUACA
ensembl:lncRNA